UUUGUAAACAAUAGUAUUUUUUCGUUGUGGACAUAUAUGAUUAUACGAGUAUAUAAUCAUAUAUGGGUCAAUUUCAUGUAUGAUCUCUUUUUACCCGGACUCUUCAUAUUUUACUGCGAUAAUUUGUUCGCACAAUUGAAAUAUCGAAGAAAUAUUAUUCAAAAUAUAUUAGUUCGUAGUUAAUAGAAUUUGUAUUUUUAAAGUAUUAUAUCGACAGAUUUUUAUGGAUAAAGAAUAUUUGUUGAGACUUCUCUUGUUUCUCGGAGAUAUCGGUUUGUUCUUAAGAUUAUCUUAAGAAUAUCUCGUCAAUAAAAUGACUUUUCUGGAGCGAACCAAUGUCCUCGAUUUGCAAAAAUGAACACAGCUCACGUGUGCAUUCAGGUAUCUUAAACUUGAUGCUAAUCGUAUUCUGAUUAAGACAUUACAUGCCAUAUUUACUUCAAAAAAAGACGCUACUUAUUUAAUCAAAAACUUCUUCAUUAUAUGAUAAAUAAUGUGCUACAUGAUAUGAAAUUGUACAAUAUUUACAUGGAAUUAAUUUGCCACGUUACUAAACUUGGAAACAUAGAAAAAAGCCGCAUCAUAUGAUAUACAGGUGAAUGCAGAUACGAGAUUCGCUGGUAUGAGCUUCGACAGGUGCGAUGACCCGAAAACGUUUUUUUUUUUUCGGAGCCGUGGGCGUCGAUAGGUGUGACCUGAUGUUUCCGGUCUGUCGCCUAAAUCACGAAAGUCGUGAGCGCGCAUUUAACCGUGAUCACAGGCGCGAUCGUAAUCUAGGAGAAAAGCACCUAACGUUAAUAAAUUCCCGGUCGGUCGUCUACAUAUCGGGCAUUCGUAUCGCGAUUUAAGAUGGCGAAUUAGGGUCGUAGCCGGUGAUCUAGGACGGAUCGGUAACGCCGCGACUUGGUCGUAACCCCGCGCGGUCGUUAGGCCCGCGCAUAGAGUCUCGCGGGAAUCGUGUAUAGCUCUGUGUCGUGACACACGUAACAAUCAGGACGACCCUCUGGAGGAAGGUAGAUUGUCUCCCCGGCUGUCUCGGCGACGAUCUCGAAAACUAUGAGUGUAUAACAUCGCACGGCGCGCAAUAAAGUCUACCUUAAGGCUGACCGAGGAGUAUACCGAGGCUCCUACUUGCGAGGGAUCUUUAACGGAGAAAGAGGAGACCGUCUGGAGAUAAAUGGCGACGGUACAGUGAACAAACCGAGAUAAACGAGAUUUUUCAUCUUACUUUUGCAUUCAGCGUUAACGCUCUUCGGUAAUUUAAGGGAAUGCUUCGUCCGUGACUCUCUCGCGCCUAAGAUGGAGUGAUUACUCCGCGGUAGAGCUCGGCCGUUUCUCUUUAUUCCCUCGUGACAGCUUUUGAAACAUUAAAAAUCGAUAUUACGUCUCUCUUUCAGUUUACCGUUUUGUUUUUCGGCUUGAGCCGCUUCACUUCUGCGAACUUGAUUGUCAAGAACGUUUCAUUUCCGCCCGUGACACGGUCUUGAAAGGGACCGAAGUUAUUAUCUAUCUACACACUGUGACGCGGACCAGCUGAGACUCCGAGCAAAAAAUUGGCUUCAUUAUAGGACGCAAUUAAAAGAUGAUAAUGGAGGGUGCGAGGGAGGCAGGGCGGGAGAACGCGCGCUGAUGUACCCGUUGAGCGUGAUGUGUAUACAGUGUCCCAGAUCUAUCGAGUAAUGUUACAGAAGGCAGAUUUUCAUCGAUUACUUGGAGCGACGUUUCCCUCGAGAUAACUUCGCGCCGAGCUACCGAUAUUCCUCGAGCUUAAGAUGACCGAAGAUAAAGAGUUCCUUACGAAUUACAUACGGAGGUAUCGAUUCCGAGUCCCCACGGCGGGAUUUAUUCCCGAGGCCCGACACUUGAAGGAGCGGCGCAAUUACUGGCUGGCUAAAUCCCGGGCGGUGUCUACACGCACCGUUAAAAUACAAAGCGGAAGAAGCUGUCCGGAGAAACGGAUGAAUUGCAAUCGCUGCGGUGAAAUAUCACUCGCGGUACACCCCGUACAGAGGAGCGGUGGCAGGCAAGGCGAGACAGACGGGAGCGUAAACAAGGAGAACGCAUCGCGGGGGUGGCACAACGGGGUACGAGGGCGAGGGGGUUAUACCCGUCGCUCAUGCGCGCCUGGAACCCCGCCCUGUCGCUUCGGACCACGGCUCUGUCCCGUCGAGGACUCUUCGCCGAGGUAGUCGAAUAGUCACGCUUUAACCCGCGAUCCGGCAAGGCGGAGGACGGUGCUCUCGUCAGGUACGCGCGAGUGCUCGGACGACGCGAGAGAGAAGAGAGGAGAGGAGGCGCUUCGCGAGGCUGUAUCCGAGGAUCCAGCGGAGUCCGCCGCGAGAUCACGGCGGGGCCGGUGCGUGUCCCAUGCACUUCGGUAAGGAUCAACGGCGGCGGGUCGAUCGAUUCGCGACGGAGAGUCGCGUGCGACCGGAAGUUCGGAGUGCCGAUCGUCCGUACCGCUGCGCGGCGAUCGGUUGAGUGGACGGGAUCUCCGCCGAGAGAGAGUUUUCCGCGCGAACGCUCCUUCGGAGCCAACUGUAGAUCUCGCGUUCAACCACGACAGAGGAGGGAGCUUCAAGGUGGAGGCUUUCGCGCGGCCCACGAGGAUACGUCGGCUUGCUCUCUCGCUACCGGACGGACCGAUCUGCUAUUACUUGUGACAGGUUGUCGAGUGCGCUGACCACUGUUGAUUGCGAGCGAUGCGGCGGCAUCGUCGGCAUCGUUCGGAUGACUUCCUGUAGGAUAAUCGGUCGGUCGUAACGCUCUCGCGAGGAAUACUGAUACACGGGGAAUACGAAGAAGAAGAAGAGUACAGUCGCGCACCGUUCGUCAUAAGUUUACAAAUCGCGAGAUAUCCAGCUCGCUCGGCUCCUCGAAUCCGUCGUUUAAAUAGCGCAACGUGCGCUUCACUGAUGCAAGAAGAGGAAGAAGAGGAGGACGAAUAGCAGGCCUAACUUGGGAUCAACGGACUAACACACACUCGUACGGUUUCCUAACGCGAGGGCCGCGAGCCUCCGAGUGAUAUCUUCCCCUUCACACGCGGCCUACCGUCGAAAUGCGCGAUUUCCCACGAAACCGCGGCGUCUGAAAGGUCGGGAUCGAUCGGCUCAAUUUGAUAAUCUGAAAGAACCUUAGGCGUACCAAGGUCGUUAUGUAUAAGCGAUAAGGCAGGGCCUGUCCACGGCUGGAAAGUGAAGGAGCCGAGACUCACUUUCUCUCUCUCUCCAGAGAGGGGGAGAGAGAGAGGUGAGACUCUCGAGCAGCUGGUACGUGGCCUAUCUAUCGCGACGCGCGGUUUCCAAGGACCCACUCGUCGAAGAAGAUGCGGAUGUAGCGCGGCAAUCGAAUUUCGCCGAUCCGCUCGCUCGUAAUAUGUCGAGCUUGGUACACCGCGGGAAGGCGUGCUCGGAGGCUCAGGAUAUCGAAGCGCGGCCUAUCGAUCGCGAGAUCGUCGCUCGCGUUCUUCGGCUCGCCAAAAGGAAGCUCACGACAAUAGAGCGCCCGUCGAUCAAACGAUCACGGAGCAUCGUCCACUGAAUAUUCGGGCCGUCGCGAAGUUCGUCAUCAUCCAAAAUUACAUCUCCAGUAUCGUAUCCCUCGGUACGGUUCAACGAGUCCUUCGACAGGACGCCGUGUUGUUCGGCGAGCCGAGGAAAACGGCCCCGCUCGAUGCCUCCUAGGCAAAGACGCGAUCGCGCACACCUGAUCCCAGCUCACCCGCCGGACGGUUCGUCGACUCGAAGCAGACGAUGGUCGACGACUCUGCGUCUCUGCUCGACAGUUGAUCCUGACAGGAUCAAAGCAACGGCCCACGAGAGCCCAGGCGCGCUCUGUGAGAAAGCGAUGAUCAGCUGCCGGUAGAUCGGCGCGCUCGAUGAGUCGUCGCAGAAUCGAGCGUCGAGCAGCAGCAGCAGCCAGCAUCGCCACCCGGGGAAGCCGGAGAGGAAGCUUCGCAUAGCGUCGUCGUCCCCGACUCGACAGCCGUCUUGAUGCGCGGAAGCAGCUCCGAACUGCUGCUGGAGCCGUGUUGCAGCCAGUGCCAGUGCGAUCACGAUCGGCAUCAGCGUCGAAACA